rnacentral:rRNA from 1 species
UACGAAGGUGGCGAGCGUUGUUCGGAUUUACUGGGCAUAAAGGGCGCGUAGGCGGUUCCGUAAGCAGCGUGUGAAAUCCCCCAGCUCAACUGAGGAAUUGCGCGCUGGACUGCGGUUCUAGAGAACGGGAGGGGGGUGCGGAACUCCAGGUGUAGCGGUGAAAUGCGUAGAUAUCUGGAGGAACACCGGUGGCGAAAGCGACACCCUGGCCCGUCACUGACGCUGAGGCGCGAAAGCGUGGGUAGCAAACAGG